GACGGAGGAUGCAAGCGUUAUCCGGAAUGAUUGGGCGUAAAGCGUCCGCAGGUGGCAGUUCAAGUCUGCUGUCAAAGACCGGGGCUUAACUUCGGAAAGGCAGUGGAAACUGAACAGCUAGAGUAUGGUAGGGGCAGAGGGAAUUCCUGGUGUAGCGGUGAAAUGCGUAGAGAUCAGGAAGAACAUCGGUGGCGAAGGCGGCCUGCUGGGCAGUAGCUGACGCUGAUGCGCGACAGCGUGGGGAGCAAACAGG
rnacentral:rRNA from 1 species